rnacentral:rRNA from 1 species
AACCAUAAGGUAUCUAUUUUUGGCGAUUUCUGCUCAAUGAAUAUUAAAUAGCCGCAGUACUUUGACUGUGCAAAGGUAGCAUAAUAAUUUGGCUUUUAAUUGGGGUCUAGUAUGAAUGAAAAAAUGGGGGAAUGCUGUAUCAGUUUAAAGGCUUAAAUUUACUUAGGGGGUGAAAAUACCUCUAAUUAUAUAAUAGACGAGAAGACCCUUGAAAUUUUAAAAUCAUAAAUUUUGUUGGGGCGACAGAGUAGCAAGUAACCUACUUUUAAAAUGUGUCUUACUAUAUAAGGAAAAAUUAAAUUACUCAAGGGAUAACAGCAUAAUUAUUUAAAUAGUUUGUGACCUCGAUGUUGGAUUAGGAAUAUCUAGCUUAGAAGGUUAAGAUUUUUGCUCUGUUCGAGCGAUUUUUCCUACGUGAUCUGAG